rnacentral:rRNA from 1 species
GACGAACGCUGGCGGCGUGCUUAACACAUGCAAGUCGAGCGGUAAGGCCCUUUCGGGGGUACGACGAGCGGCGAACGGGUGAGUAACACGUGGGUGACCUGCCCUCCAGCUCUGGGAUAAGCCUGGGAAACCGGGUCUAAUACUGGAUAUGACUCCAUGACGCAUGUUGUGGGGUGGAAAGCCUUGUGCGGCUGAGGAUGGGCCCGCGGCCUAUCAGCUUGUUGGUGGGGUGAGGCCUACCAAGGCGACGACGGGUAGCCGGCCUGAGAGGGCGACCGGCCACACUGGGACUGAGACACGGCCCAGACUCCUACGGGAGGCAGCAGUGGGGAAUCUUGCGCAAUGGGCGAAAGCCUGACGCAGCAACGCCGCGUGGGGAUGAAGGCCUCGGUCGUAA